rnacentral:rRNA from 1 species
GAUGAACGCUGGCGGCGUGCCUAACACAUGCAAGUCGAACGAAGCGCUUUGAAGUUUUCGGACAGAUGAGUGACUGAGUGGCGGACGGGUGAGUAACGCGUGGGUAACCUGCCUCAUACAGGGGGAUAACAGUUAGAAAUGACUGCUAAUACCGCAUAAGUGCACAGCUUCGCAUGAAGCAGUGUAAAAAACUCCGGUGGUAUGAGAUGGACCCGCGUCUGAUUAGCUAGUUGGNGGGGUAACGGCCUACCAAGGCGACGAUCAGUAGCCGGCCUGAGAGGGUGAACGGCCACAUUUGGGACCUGAGACAC